AAAGAUGCAUCGUGCUAUUUGUUAUGUGCUGGCACAGCUCAGUGUCCAGUCUGUUGGGAAUGCCACCGCAGGAGCUAUCGUGCUCCUUCCCCCAGACCUCCUUUUGGAUCUUGCACCUUAUCCCUUUCUUUUUCUCUAUGUAAAAGGAUACAGAAUUGCCCUACCCUAUCCUUUCUCCUUUUUCUACACCAAUCUUCCUCCUCUUAAUCUCACAUUCCCCAUUUAUUGCACUAUUGAUUUGCUUCCCACAUUUUUUCGUCUCAUUCCUCCUAUUACACUGAAGCUCUCUGCCUGGCCAGCACACCUCUCUCUUGGCCUUCAGCUGGCCUUUCUUUCUCAUUGGUGUCCUCUUGUCCACCCUCUGGGCAUCCUUCACCUUCCCCUUGGCCAUGUCCAGGUUGUACAGGGUAGGCCUUGGGAAGGAUCCCUGGGUUAGCUCAGAACCAGCUGGCUUGGGCGGUGUAACCACAACUGCAUUGAGAUGAUGCUCUGCCCAGUGAGCUGAGGGCUGUUUGUCAGUCCAAGCAGUGUCACGUUAGUAUUGCUGAAUCACCUCCGGAGUUAGCUUGGACAUCUCGAUGUGUUAGACACAGCCUGAAUCUAACUCAGCUCACAACAGGCAGGGAACGUAAAUCUUAUCUGUAUUUGCAAAGCAGUGCUUAAGUUGGUGAUGGCAAGCUUUAAGAGACAAAUCCUAGAAUGGCAGCACUUCAGGAUACCCGUGUAACUCUUCAGUGGUCUUUUUCUCCUGCAGUCUGAGGAUCAUGGAAAAUAGGGGUCCGGUUCAGUUCUCCCUUCCAGCUGACUUCUUGCCAGCACAGUCAAAUAGCAAGGCACAUCAUGGCUGUGUUUCCUUGAGGCGCUGGCACAAAGAACCUUGAGGUGAACUGCUUUGGAGACUGCAAUCAUACACAGACCAUGUCUGUGAUGCAACAGGAUACAGAGACUGUCUUAAGCAAUUUGUCUUGCUAACAUACAGCUGUACAGUAGGGUGAAUUUGACUAUCAUUAGAAACCAGAAGCCCAAUAUGGGGGAGUGUUACAAAUGCCCAAAUCCACAAUUGAAGUUGACAUGUUACUAGGCACUGGGACAUACGGCUUGCCCCAGGCCUAGGAGACAGAGCGCCAAGGAGCUAGGAGCACAGAUUACACCCUGUGACUUACCUUUAUCAACACAGCUAACUAGAACAAUCCAAAACAAAAUGAUGAACAUGCAUUCAGAUACUACAAUGGCAAUGGCUCCAAGGACAGAGAAAUGUAAGUAGUGCAAAAUUCUUAUCCUAACCUCAACCACAGUCAGAUCCAUCCAAGAACCAAAAUAACUGAUGUUCCAUGCAGCUAUCUGAUCCUUCUUUAAAAUAUCACCAGUUACACUUCUAACCACAAUGGAAAGCAUUUUUUUUUUUUAAUUACAUAUUACAUUCUAUUAUCAGUUGCAUUCCAGGCCUUUAUUUCAAGCUUGCUCAAUAGUGUCGGCCAGAUCUUAAAUCUCAGUUCAUAAUAAUUUUAGCUAUUUUACUGUACUGCAUGUUCAUCAGACACAUUUGCAUUCUCUUUUGUCAAGGCAGAAUAACCCUAGCCUUUUUAGGCUUUUCUUUUCCAGGAUGCUCCAUCACACUCUUUCUGUUUUCUAAAAUAUGCAUUCCUUGACUUUAUUGGAUCCCUCUUCAAGGUGGAUGCCCAAGAUGGACUGUGCUGUCUGAGUUCCUGAAUGCUUAGCACUUUUUAAAUAAUUACUUUUUUAAAAAAUUACUUUUUCCUGCAUUUUGUUUGAAUUAAGAAUAUGAAUUUGAACUUCUCCUUAACAAGUCAUUUUCUGCCUAACAUGGUAACUUCUGUUUAAAUCCUGUUUAGUUCUUGCGUUGUAUCUGCUGAAGUGUAUCACUCUGUGGUCAGUACAUGAAGCUCUCUGUUCCACUCCCAGCUACAGCCUAAUUCCAGACCACUUCAUGCACACAAUCAGCAAGUAGCUGCAUGUUAAAGUCCAACAUCUGGAAAAUAAAUCCUAAAGCAAAAUGGUUUUAAAAAUAAAUUGGCCACAAAUUUUAUAUAUAGAUAUAUAUAUAUAUGUAUACGUAUGUGUGUAUAUAUAUACAUAUAUAUAUACACACACACAUUUUUAUUGUCAGAUAUUUUAUCUCCAUUCCCCAACUGGAGCUCUGAGUAUCUAUAUCAAAAGAGAACAAUUUCAUUUGUGUUUUCAACUUCCACUGGGCUCCCUGUGUUUAUAAGCACAAGGGAUUCUUCAAGACAGACAGCCGGGACAGGCUAACAACUUAAGUGUAAGAACAAUGAAAUUUAUCCUUACCUUCACAAAGAAGUCUUGGAGUGGAUUUUAGAUCUAUGCUGAGAAUGUGGCAGAGAAUAUGCCCCCAGCACUGUAGUGUGGUCUGUGAGUCUUAGGUGAUUCCCUACACUGUAGGUACAUAACACUUAUUUUCCAGCAUCAUGAUAAGCUUCUUUGGUUUCUUUGUGCAUUUGUGUUGCUGAGCUGUUUUGGAAACUGUUGGUUAGUAAUGUUUACACUACAAAAUAAUACCUUUGCACAUCUACAGCAGGACUUUCCUCCAGGAUUUGUGUACUCAAAAAAAAUAAAUAAUCAGCACUUGCGUCACAGAAUCACAGAACGGUUGAAGAUGGAAGGGACCUCUGGAGAUCAUCUGGUCCAAUCCUCUUGCCAAGCAGAGUCACCUAGCGCAUGUUGCACAGGAUCACAUCCAGUUCUGAUAUGCAAGCAAAGCGGAUACCUCCCACCUAAGCAAAGAGGGACAUCUGAGCCAUUCGGAUACCCACGAGGAAGGAAACUUCUUAUCCUACCUAGCAGGGUGAACUUCCACGUGUAGAGACAUGCUGAGCCAAUUCAAGCCUCUUAAAGUGACAAGGCACUGGAGGAGGGCUCUCCAAGUAUGUGUAAUACUCAACACUGUUUUUAUCAAAAGAAUCCAGGUAAAAUUGGAAAAGUACAGUAUUAACACGAACCCUGGUGAAAAUAUAUGCUGGACUGAGAUCUUGUUUAUUCAUUUACAGUCCAUGUUUCUUUUGUCUCAGCAUGCCAGUGUGCUGUGUUGUUGUAUGCUACAAGCUGAUGAUUUCAGCUGCUAUGAUUCGUUAGAGCAAAUAAGGUGAUUAAUGAAAAUGUUAUGCAGACAGCAAUUGAAGCCAAAAAGGAAACUCCCCAGCCUUGAUUCUCCCUCCUCCAGGAAGGGGAAAAAAAAUCAGACCCACAGCUGACACAACUGAACCAAAUGUGUCUACAGGGAAUGUGUAUUAAGGUACCAACAGAAACACGAGGUUUCCAUUACAAAUGGCUGUCUGGAUCUUUCCUCUUCUGCCUCAGAAUUGCUCAGUCAUUACCAGUCCACUCUGCAAACUCCAAAGAGCUCCAGACAUCUGACUGUUAGUAGUUCCAUGGGAGCUCUUACAAUUAUUAUGGUCCCUGGCACCCUCUCUCUCUCCAGCCCACUCUUACAGUGUGG